rnacentral:lncRNA from 1 species
ACAACUCUGCAAAGAGGAGAAAUAAACUGAUUUCUCUUUUCUUUACCUAUAUUCUAGCCAUCAUACCAAGACUGUGAUUGCUCUAGAUAGAGGCCCUAAGCCACUUCAAUGAACCAUGCCUUAGAAGAAUGCAGCAGGAAGAAAAUGAAAACAAGAAGAGAAGGUGGCUUCCUAGAGAGAAAUAGGGAAGGAUUUAAUCGGUUGAGCCAAAUGAUCUCCACUUGCUUGGAGGGGAGGUAGCUUUGACAACUGCUGCUGCUUUCAGGGGACAGAAUCAGAAUGCAUGGAAGUUCUGUCAUAACUGGAGAAGAGGUAAGGAGUACCCAGAAACUGAACUGGAUGUGGGGUGUAGAUUGGGCUGAUGGUCAGC